CAGUAGCCGCGGGAAUACGGAGGGUGCAAGCGUUAAUCGGAAUUACUGGGCGUAAAGCGUGCGUAGGCGGUUCGUUAAGUCUGUUGUGAAAGCCCCGGGCUCAACCUGGGAAUGGCAAUGGAUACUGGCGAGCUAGAGUGUGUCAGAGGAUGGUGGAAUUCCCGGUGUAGCGGUGAAAUGCGUAGAGAUCGGGAGGAACAUCAGUGGCGAAGGCGGCCAUCUGGGACAACACUGACGCUGAGGCACGAAAGCGUGUGGAGCAAACAGGAUUAGAUACCCCAGUAGUCCCUGUCUCUUAUAC
rnacentral:rRNA from 1 species